rnacentral:lncRNA from 9 species
AUGGAACAGUGUGGACAUGAAAGUGAAAACAUCUGCCAUUGUGACUAUAAAUGUUUAAGAAACGAGUCCUGCGUACCUGCCUCCUUCAGUUUUCCAUCUGUAAGGUACCACUUAUUGGGUGCUUGCUAUUUGUGGAGCAAAAAGAAUGCUGAAGCAAGAAGGCAGCCUCGAAGGGGUGCUGUUCAGAGCCAAUUUACAAUUAUGAAGGAAGCCAGAUUGAAGAAAAUGCCAAAAAGUACAAAAGGGAAGGCCAAACUGAAAGAAUUUCAGAACAUCAGAGUCUGGGCCAUGAUGCACCCAGGCUUCAUGAUAUAUGAGGUAAUGCUUUUCCUACUUGUUUAUACUUCUUAUAGUCAAGCACAUUGUAAUUCAUGCAGCUCCUUAAGAAAAUGGGAAUCUGUGUGGUGUGGUAGAACUGCUGAGGUGGGUCUUCAUGGGGGGAACCCAGAUUUUAAAUGGUGAAAUGUUUAUAUAAUGCAACUAAAAAUAUUUGCUUCUUAUUGAUUAGCUUUUUUUUUUUUUAACACAAAACAGAGAUGUUCACUGUGACCUCAAGUGGAUUCUUCUCCACCAAUCCAAAAUUUUAUCCCAGGUAUUACAUUUAUCUUAAUUAUAACAUAGUGAUGAUCACUUGAUGAGCUGGUCAUGUAUGAUACAGCUGGUUGUGCUGGUCAUAAAUGAUACAUAACUAUAUGAACCUUAAAAAUCCUCAAAAAUAUGAUGUUGAGUUUAUAAAGCUGUCUAAAUUAUGUUGGAAAAGGGGGACAUUUAGUCCAUAUGACUGAGAAAAAAGAAUUCAUUAUGACAGUUCAGUUCAUUUCAAGAUGGCUGCUCUUAGGAAAAGUAUUUGUUGUCUUUCUAGAAAAAAUGUAAAUAUUCUUCACAGUGUGUCAUAUCUCUGGUGGCUUGAAGAAUUGGAGAGUGAAGGGGUUUAUGCUAUAAAAUGAUUAUUUUCAGCAUUUCUAUCAAAUAGAUUAUAAGGAAGUGAAUUACAUAUGGUCCAAACUGGUUUGAAGCAGAAUAAAUUCAUUCAUAUCUUCAUGCUAGAAAUGAUGGGUUUUAAAAUUUUAGACAUUUAGUCUCUUUUCUUUCACGAUGGCCUCACUUUAAUGCCUCAGGUUUCCUGAAUACCAGGCUCUCUUUGGCUCCUGUAAAUGUUCAUCAAUGUUUCUGACCUGAAGGGGGGGUAAUUUGCUUUUUUUAGGGCAAAGAUGUACCUAGUUUCAUUUCAAGUAACCUGUGACUUCUAGUGUUUCUUUCAGUUGAAUUUAUGUAUGUGUGGUGUAUGUGUAUGUGGGUGUAUGUAUCUGUGUAUGUGUCCUGAGUGUGUGUGUGUGUGUGUGUGCUUAUGUACACACAUGCCUGAGCUUUUUAUAAACCAGUAGCAAACAACUUAAGAGAUGUGGUCACACAGAAUGGCCUGUGCACCCUUUUCUUGAGUGAGAGAUAAUAAAUCAUUCUUCUCAGGUGGCAUCUUUUAUUUAUGCUUUGGGAUUCCAUUUUAUUGAGAAAGCUUUGGUUUUCCUUUUUGGCUUUGUAUAAGCUGUACUUGAGUAAGUAAUUCAAAUCAAGCUGACAUUUAUUAGUGAGGACAUGGUCCACUCCAAUCUCAUACUCAUAGCUUUUUAUAAACUGUUGCCAUAACAACUUUGCUAUGGACUUUCCUACUUGUAAGUAUGUGUGUGUGAUGGCAGUGCUGUGUGGUUGCAGAUUUACUGUUUGUUAAGUCAGUGGAAUAAAAUCAAUAUUGACUUCCAUUCCAUAGGAAUUGGUUAUUGAGGGUGGUUUUUUUUUGUCAUUAAAAAUGUGAUAACUUAAAAUCUGAGCAAAUUAGAUAGGGUUACUAUAAUCAGGAAUACAAGAUUUUAGUAAUGGAUUAUAUGCAGAGACUAUUCCUAUUUUCUAAGACAUUUCACACUCAUCAUUUUAUCCUCAUAUAAUCAUGGGCGGUAAGGAGCAUACAUGGGUACAUGCCAUUAUCAUUGUUUUCUAGCUGAAGAAACUCAAGUCAAAGAAAAGGGAUUUUUCCCAAGGCUACUACUCAGUUAAAAAGUGGCUAGUCCAGGGGUUCAAACUUCUAAAUUCUACUCUCUUUUCACCACAGGAAGGAACAAAGGUUGAAACAGUACUCAGAGAUCCUUCCAAAAUAUUGCCUGUAUUGUUGUUGACAUUGAUUUUUUGAGAUAUUCCAAGAUUUUCAGUAACUCCCUUUGUUGGAAAACGGAACCAUUUAUUUGGGUACUCUGACUGGCGUGCCAGUUAAAUCCUUUCUGUGUUGUUAAAUACUUCUUAGGGCAGGGUCGGGGUGGUUCUAGAAAGACAGAGCUUCACAUUCCUUUCUUUCUUAGAGGUCCAGAUAUUCAUUCUUGGGAGACGGAACCUCUUUAGCUUCAGGUUUUAAAAGGACCUUCUGACUUUGUUAGCUCCUCCAUGGAAUAAUUGAAAAUUUCAGUGCUCUUUCUGCAACCAAGAGAUACUGUUUUGUCCUGAUAAACACACCUCCUGGAAUUCUCUCUGUAAUUUCAAAAACUCAUUCAGUGAAUUUUUUGAGUGUCUAUAUAUGCUGGCAGUGCUCAGCCCCUCCCUUUAGCCAUCUUACCAUGUUUUCUGGUUCAGAGGAACUGUUUUCAGAAGCAAACAGUUGAUUUUGCUGAGAUUAGUGGUAGACUAAAGAGACCGAAACAUUGUUUUUCUACUUGAGUUACUCUGCUCUUACAGAAUAUUCCAUUGAGCGAAUGUUGGACACAGGUGGUUCCUUUUAAACCUGAAUCAAUAUGUCCUAGAAGUUGUGCUAUUAACGUUUGAAAUCUGUAAAGCAGGAUACUUAGAGUAAAGGCUGUUUAAGUCAGGGAUAGAGAUCUUUGGGGCCUGGGCACCAUUUUUGUUUAACCCUAAGGAAUCAGAGGUGGUCUUGGGUCCCAGGAAUGACCCCACCGAGGGCAGCCUGUCAGACAGGGAGACACAGGGGAAGGAAGGUGGUAGCUUAUCUGCUUCCUUGUCCCUUCUCUGUUUCCACUCCCUCCCAAAGUGAUUUCAUCCAGUUCCAAUGGCUUACUGAAUUUUUCAGAGCUUGUUCAGGGAAAUAGAAGCCAUCCUAAGUAUUAUAAACAGUAAUGGCUUCAAUUCAAAGAAUUAGAGGCUUACCAAACUGUUGGAAGGGCUGGGGAGCUAAGGUCAGGGAAACUGCCAUUUCUGAGCUCAACUGCCUGCAGCACUGGAAUGAGUAAUUCUCAAAAGCUUGCCCAGAAGUCACCAUGAAUUUCAAGUCUCCAGGAAGCUGAUACCACUGGCCUACAGCUCCAGAGAAGGUGAUUCUCUGCUGCUUGCCUGGAAACCCCCACAUCUGCUGACUGACCACAUGUCUGCCUGGAAAUCUCGCUGG